UACGUAGGGCGCAAGCGUUGUCCGGAAUUAUUGGGCGUAAAGAGCUCGUAGGCGGCUUGUCACGUCUGCUGUGAAAUCCCGGGGCUCAACCCCGGGCGUGCAGUGGAUACGGGCUGGCUAGAGGCAGGCAGGGGAGAACGGAAUUCCCGGUGUAGCGGUGAAAUGCGCAGAUAUCGGAAGGAACACCGGUGGCGAAGGCGGUUCUCUGGGCCUGUUCUGACGCUGAGGAGCGAAGGCGUGGGGAGCAAACAGG
rnacentral:rRNA from 1 species